rnacentral:rRNA from 1 species
UACCAGCACCCCGAGUGGUCGGGACGAUUAUUGGGCCUAAAGCAUCCGUAGCCGGUUCUACAAGUCUUCCGUUAAAUCCACCUGCUUAACAGAUGGGCUGCGGAGGAUACUAUAGAGCUAGGAGGCGGGAGAGGCGAGCGGUACUUAGUGGGUAGGGGUAAAAUCCGUUGAUCCAUUGAAGACCACCAGUGGCGAAGGCGGCUUGCCAGAACGCACUCGACGGUGAGGGAUGAAAGCUGGGGGGGCAAACCGG